GAUGGCAGAUGAGAUCGCCAAGGUUCAGGUUGCUUGGCCUGGUGGCGAUACGAUCUUCGGGAAGAUCAUCCGCAAGGAAAUCCCAGCCAAAAUCAUUUUUGAGGAUGACCAGUGCCUUGCUUUCCACGACAUUUCUCCUCAAGCACCAACACAUUUUCUGGUAGUACCCAAGAAACAUAUAUCCCAGAUUUCUGCAGCAGAAGAUGAUGAUGAAAGUCUUCUUGGAUGCUUAAUAAUUUUUGGCAAGAAAUGUGCUGCGGAUCUGGGCCUGAAUAAGGGUUACUGAAUGGUAGUGAAUGAAGGUUCACAUGGUGGAACAGUCUGUCUAUCACUUUCAUCUCCAUGUUCUUAGAGGUCAGCAGAUGCAUUGGCCUCCUGGUUAAGCACGUUUUGGGGAUAAUUUUCCCUUCUCUAGGCAAUGAUUGAGUUA